UACGUAGGAUGCAAGCGUUAUCCGGAAUGAUUGGGCGUAAAGCGUCCGCAGGCGGCUGUGCAAGUCUGCUGUUAAAGAGUCUAGCUCAACUAGAUAAAAGCAGUGGAAACUACACGGCUAGAGUACGUUCGGGGCAGAGGGAAUUCCUGGUGUAGCGGUGAAAUGCGUAGAGAUCAGGAAGAACACCAGUGGCGAAGGCGCGCUGCUAGGCCGUAACUGACACUGAGGGACGAAAGCUAGGGGAGCGAAUGGG
rnacentral:rRNA from 1 species